CUCUGUGGUAACAUUUUCUGCCAGUUCCUGAUAUGCUGUUGUGGAAGAAUCAGCAUAGUCACUUUGGAAUGUACGGAACAUUAUGAAUCCUAAUCCCAUUGACCCCUCAUUCGCUGUCGGUGCUGCUGUUGACUUAGUUGUGGUAGCGGUGGCUGUGGUGGUUGUGGGAACAAUUUUGGUUGUCGUUGGUACAGUGGUGUUUGUGGCAGCAGCUGUGGUUGUCGUCGCAGAAGCUGUGGCUGUAGUUGAAGCAGUUGUGGUAUUCGUGCCAGCAGCAGCGGUGGUGGUGGCAGCUGUUGCUGUAGUAGCUCUGGCUGUUGUAGAAGCAGCUGUGUCUGUUGUGGGAGCAACUGUGGUUGUCGUGUUGCCAGCUGUGGAUGUGGUGGGGGCAUUUGUGGUUGUAGUUGGAGCAGCUGCUUUUGUAGGUGUAGCUGCUGUGGUUGUAGUGGAAGCAGCUGUGGUUGUUGAAUGAGCAACUGUGGUAGUUGUGAUGCCUGCUGUGGUGACCGUUGCGGCACCUGUGGUUGUGGUGGCAGCACCUGUGGUUGUUGUGGGAGACACUGUGGUUGAUGUGACUCCAUUUGUGGUUGUAGUUGGAGCAUCGGUGGUUUUUGUGGGAGAAACUGUGGCUGUUGUGACUCCAUUUGUGGUUGGAGCAUCUGUGGUUGUCAUGCCAGCAGCUGUGGUUGUAGUAGGAGCAGUAGUGGUUGUGGUGGCAGCUUCUGUGAUUGUGGUGGUUGCUGCUGUUGUCGUAGUCGAAGCAGCUGUGGUUGUGGUUGCAGCAGUAGCUGUGGUUGUAGUUGGAGCACCUGUGGUUGUUGCAGCAACUGUGGUUGUGGUGGCUGCUGCAGCAGUUGCAGGUGUCGUUGUCAUGGCAGGAGCGGUGGUGGUCAUCAUGGACGUAGUUAAGGUUGUAGAUGGAGCAGCUGUGGUUGUUGAAUGAGCAACUGGGGUAGUUGUGAUGCCUGCUGUGGUGACCGUGGCGGCACCUGUGGUUGUGUUGGCAGCACCUGUGGUUGUUGUGGGCGAAAUGAUGGUUGUUUUUACUCCAUUUGUCGAUGAAAUUGGAGCAUCUGUGGUUGUUGUGGCAGCAGCUGUGGUUGUUGUAGGAUCAGCAGUGGUUGUGCUAGCGGCUGCUGUGAUCGUGGUGUUUGCUGCUGCUGUUGUAGUCGAAGCAGCUGUGGUUGUUGUGACCGGAAUUGUGGUAGUCAUCAUGCCAUCUGUAGUGGUCGUGGGAGCAGCUGUGGUUGUGGUUGCAGCAGUAGCUGUGGUUGUAGUUGGAGCACCUGUGGUUGUUCUUGCAGCGACUGUUGUUGUGGUGGCUGCUGCAGCAGUUGCAGGUGUCGUUGUCAUGGCAGGAGCUGUGGUGGUCAUCAUGGACAUUGUUGAGGUUGUAGUUGGAGCAGCUGUGGUUGUUGAAUGAGACACUGUGUUAGUUGUGAUGCCUGCUGUGGUGACCGUGGCGGCACCUGUUGUUGUGGUGGCAGCAUCUGUGGUUGUUGUGGGAGACACUAUGGUUGUUGUGACUCCAUUUGUUGUUGUAGUUGGAGAAUCAUUGGUUGUUGUGGCAUCAGCUCCGGUUGUUGUGGGAGAAACUGUGGAUGUGCUGACUAUAUUUGUGGUUGUAAUUGGAGCAUCUGUGGUUGUCAUGGCAGCAGCUGUGGUUGUAGAUGGGGCAGCAGAGGUUGUGCUGGCGGCUGCUGUGAUUGUGGUGGUUGCUGCUGUUGUUGUAGUCGAAGCAGCUGUGGUUGUUGUGACCGGAAUUGUGGUAGUCAUCAUGCCAUCUGUAGUGGUCGUGGGGGCAGCUGGGGUUGUGGUUGCAGCAGUUGCUGUGGUUGUAGUUGGAUAACCUGUGGUUGUUGUUGCAGCGACUGUGGUUUUGGUGGCUGCUGCAGCAGUUGCAGGUGUCGUUGUCAUGGCAGGAGCUGUGGUGGUCAUCAUGGACAUUGUUGAGGUUGUAGUUGGAGCAGCUGUGGUUGUUGAAUGAGCAACUGUGUUACUUGUGAUACCUGCUGUGGUGACCGUGGUGGCACCUGUGGUUGUGGUGGCAGCACCUGUGGUUGUUGUGGGAGAAACUAUGGUUGUUGUGACUCCAUUUGUUGUUGUAGUUGUAGCAUCUGUGGUUGUUGUGGCAGCAGCUGUGGUUGUGGUGGCUGCUGCUGCAGUUGCAGGUGUCGUUGUCAUGGCAGGAGCUGUGGUGGUCAUCAUGGACGUAGUUGAGGUUGUCGUUGGAGAAGCUGUGGUUGUUGAAUGAGCAACUGUGGUAGUUGUGAUGCCUGCUGUGGUGACCGUUGCGGUAAAUGUGUUUGUGGUGGCAGCACCUGUGGUUGUUAUGGGAGAAACUGUGGUUGUUGUGACUCCAUUUGUGGUUGUAGUUGGAACAUCUGUGGUUGUUGUGGGAGAAACUGUGGCUGUUGUGACUCCAUUUGUGGUUGGAGCAUCUGUGGUUGUCAUGGCAGCAGCUGUGGUUGUGGUGGCAGCACCUGUGGUUGUUGUGGGAGAAACUAUGGUUGUUGUGACUCCAUUUGUUGUUGUAGUUGGAGCAUCUGUGGUUGUUGUGGCAGCAGUUGUGGUUGUUGUGGGAGAAACUGUGGAUAAUGUGACUCUAUUUGUCGUUGUAAUUGGAGCAUCUGUGGUUGUCAUGGCAGCAGCUGUUGUUGUAGAAGGAUCAGCAGUGGUUGUGCUAGCGGCUGCUGUGAUUGUCGUGGUUGCUGCUGUUGUUGUAGUCGAUGCAGCUGUGGUUGUUGUGACCGGAAUUGUGGUAGUCAUCAUGCCAUCUGUAGUGGUCGUUGGGGCAGCUGUGGUUGUGGUUGCAGCAGUAGCUGUGGUUGUAGUUGGAGAACCUGUGGUUGUUGUUGCAGCGACUGUGGUUGUGGUGGCUGCUGCAGCAGUUGCAGGUGUCGUUGUCAUGGCAGGAGCGGUGGUGGUCAUCAUGGACGUAGUUAAGGUUGUAGAUGGAGCAGCUGUGGUUGUUGAAUGAGCAACUGGGGUAGUUGUGAUGCCUGCUGUGGUGACCGUGGCGGCACCUGUGGUUGUGGUGGCAGCACCUGUGGUUGUUGUGGGAGAAACGAUGGUUGUUGUUACUCCAUUUGUCGAGGAAAUUGGAGCAUCUGUGGUUGUUGUGGCAGCAGCUGUGGUUGUUGUAGGAUCAGCAGUGGUUGUGCUAGCAGCUGCUGUGAUCGUGGUGGUUGCUGCUGCUGUUGUAGUCGAAGCAGCUGUGGUUGUUGUGACCGGAAUUGUGGUAGUCAUCAUGCCAUCUGUAGUGGUCGUGGGGGCAGCUGUGGUUGUGGUUGCAGCAGUAGCUGUGGUUGUAGUUGGAGCACCUGUGGUUGUUCUUGCAGCGACUGUGGUUGUGGUGGCUGCUGCAGCAGUUGCAGGUGUCGUUGUCAUGGCAGGAGCUGUGGUGGUCAUCAUGGACAUUGUUGAGGUUGUAGUUGGAGCAGCUGUGGUUGUUGAAUGAGCAACUGUGUUAGUUGUGAUGCCUGCUGUGGUGACCGUGGCGGCAGGUGUCGUUGUGGUGGAAGCACCUGUGGUUGUUGUUGGAGACACUAUUGUUGUUGUGACUCCAUUUGUUGUUGUAGUUGGAGCAUGUGUGGUUGUUGUGGCAUCAGCUCCGGUUGUUGUGGGAGAAACUGUGGAUGUGCUGGCUAUAUUUGUGGUUGUAAUUGGAGCAUCUGUGGUUGUCAUGGCAGCAGCUGUGGUUGUAGAUGGAGCAGCAAAGGUUGUGCUGGCGGCUGCUGUGAUUGUGGUGGUUGCUGCUGUUGUUGUAGUCGAAGCAGCUGUGGUUGUUGUGACCGGAAUUGUGGUAGUCAUCAUGCCAUCUGUAGUGGUCAUGGGGGCAGCUGUGGUUGUGGUUGCAGCAGUAGCUGUGGUUGUAGUUGGAGCACCUGUGGUUGUUGUUGCAGCGACUGUGGUUGUGGUGGCUGCUGCAGCAGUUGCAGGUGUCGUUGUCAUGGCAGGAGCUGUGGUGGUCAUCAUGGACAUUGUUGAGGUUGUAGUUGGAGCAGCUGUGGUUGUUGAAUGAGCAACUGUGCUAGUUGUGAUGCCUGCUGUGGUGACCGUGGCGGCACCUGUUGUUGUGGUGGCAGCACCUGUGGUUGUUGUGGGAGAAACUAUGGUUGUUGUGACUCCAUUUGUUGUUGUAGUUGGAGCAGCUGUGGUUGUUGUGGGAGAAACUGUGGAUGUUGUGACUCUAUUUGUCGUAAUUGGAGUAUCUGUGGUUGUCAGGGCAGCAGCUGUGGUUGUAGUAGGAUCAGCAGUGGUUGUGCUAGCGGCUGCUGUGAUUGUGGUGGUUGCUGCUGUUGUUGUAGUCGAAGCAUCUGUGGUUGUUGUGGCAUCAGCUCCGGUUGUUGUGGGAGAAACUGUGGAUGUGCUCACUAUAUUUGUGGUUGUAAUUGGAGCAUCUGUGGUUGUCAUGACAGCAGCUGUGGUUGUAGAUGGAACACUAGAGGUUGUGCUGGCGGCUGCUGUGAUUGUGGUGGUUGCUGCUGUUGUUGUAGUCGAAGCAGCUGUGGUUGUUGUGACCGGAAUUGUGGUAGUCAUCAUGCCAUCUGUAGUGGUCGUGGGGGCAACCGUGGUUGUGGUUGCAGCGGUAGCUGUGGUUGUAGUUGGAGCACGUGUGGUUGUUGUUGCAGCGACUGUGGUUGUGGUGGCUGCUGCAGCAGUUGCAGGUGUUGUUGUCAUGGCAGGAGCUGUGGUGGUCAUCAUGGACAUUGUUGAGGUUGUAGAUGGAGCAGCUGUGGUUGUUGAAUGAGCAACUGGGGUAGUUGUGAUGCCUGCUGUGGUGACCGUGGCGGCACCUGUGGUUGUGGUGGCAGCACCUGUGGUUGUUGUGGGAGAAACGAUGGUUGUUGUUACUCCAUUUGUCAAUGAAAUUGGAGCAUCUGUGGUUGUUGUGGCAGCAGCUGUGGUUGUUGUAGGAUCAGCAGUGGUUGUGCUAGCGGCUGCUGUGAUCAUGGUGGUUGCUGCUGCUGUUGUUGUAGUCGAAGCAGCUGUGGUUGUUGUGACCGGAAUUGUGGUAGUCAUCAUGCCAUCUGUAGUGGUCGUGGGGGCAGCUGUGGUUGUGGUUGCAGCAGUAGCUGUGGUUGUAGUUGGAGCACCUGUGGUUGUUCUUGCAGCAACUGUGGUUGUGGUGGCUGCUGCAGCAGUUGCAGGUGUCGUUGUCAUGGCAGGAGCUGUGGUGGUCAUCAUGGACAUUGUUGAGGUUGUAGUUGGAGCAGCUGUGGUUUGUGAAUGAGCAACUGUGUUAGUUGUGAUGCCUGCUGUGGUGACUGUGGCGGCAGGUGUCGUUGUGGUGGAAGCACCUGUGGUUGUUGUGGGAGACACUAUUGUUGUUAUGACUCCAUUUGUUGUUGUAGUUGGAGCAUGUGUGGUUGUUGUGGCAUCAGCUCCGGUUGUUGUGGGAGAAACUGUGGAUGUGCUGGCUAUAUUUGUGGUUGUAAUUGGAGCAUCUGUGGUUGUCAUGAGGGCAGCUGUGGUUGUAGAUGGAGCAGCAACGGUUGUGGUGGCGGCUGCUGUGAUUGUGGUGGUUGCUGCUGUUGUUGUAGUCGAAGCAGCUGUGGUUGUUGUGACCGGAAUUGUGGUAGUCAUCAUGCCAUCUGUAGUGGUCGUUUGGGCAGCUGUGGUUGUGGUUGCAGCAGUAGCUGUGGUUGUAGUUGGAGCACCUGUGGUUGUUGUUGCAGCGACUGUGGUUGUGGUGGCUGCUGCAGCAGUUGCAGGUGUUGUUGUCAUGGGAGGAGCUGUGGUGGUCAUUAUGGACGUAGCUGAGGUUGUAGUUGGAGCAGCUGUGGUUGUUGAAUGAGCAACUGUGCUAGUUGUGAUGCCUGCUGUGGUGACCGUGGCGGCACCUGUGGUUGUGGUGGCAGCAUCUGUGGUUGUUGUGGGAGAAACUAUGGUUGUUGUGACUCCAUUUGUUGUUGUAGUUGGAGCAUCUGUGGUUGUUGUGGCAGCAGCUGUGGUUGUUGUGGGAGAAACUGUGGUUGUUGUGACUCCAUUUGUGGUUGUAGUUGGAGCAUCUGUGGUUGUCAUGACAGCAGCUGUGGUUGUAGUAGGAGCAGUAGUGGUUAUGGUGGCGGCUGCUGUGAUUGUGGUGGUUGCUGCUGUCGUAUUCGAAGCAGCUGUGGUUGUUGCGACCGGAAUUGUGGUAGUCGUCAUGCCAUCUGCAGUGGUCGUGGGGGCAGCUGUG
rnacentral:lncRNA from 1 species